rnacentral:rRNA from 1 species
UCGGAAACUGGGAAACUUGAGUGCAGAAGAGGACAGUGGAACUCCAUGUGUAGCGGUGAAAUGCGUAGAUAUAUGGAAGAACACCAGUGGCGAAGGCGGCUGUCUGGUCUGUAACUGACGCUGAGGCUCGAAAGCAUGGGUAGCGAACAGGAUUAGAUACCCUGGUAGUCCAUGCCGUAAACGAUGAAUGCUAGGUGUUGGAGGGUUUCCGCCCCUUCAGUGCUGCAGCUAACGCAUUAAGCAUUCCGCCUGGGGAGUACGACCGCAAGGUUGAAACUCAAAGGAAUUGACGGGGGCCCGCACAAGCGG